rnacentral:rRNA from 1 species
GACGAACGCUGGCGGCGCGCCUAACACAUGCAAGUCGAACGGAGUCAAGAGGAGCUUGCUUUUCUUGACUUAGUGGCGAACGGGUGAGUAACGCGUGAGUAACCUGCCCUGGAGUGGGGGACAACAGUUGGAAACGACUGCUAAUACCGCAUAAGCCCACGGAUCUGCAUGGAUCUGCGGGAAAAGGAUUUAUUCGCUCUAGGAUGGACUCGCGUCCAAUUAGCUAGUUGGUGAGGUAACGGCCCACCAAGGCGACGAUUGGUAGCCGGACUGAGAGGUUGAACGGCCACAUUGGGACUGAGACACGGCCCAGACUCCUACGGGAGGCAGCAGUGGGGGAUAUUGCACAAUGGGGGAAACCCUGAUGCAGCGACGCCGCGUGGAGGAAGAAGGUUUUCGGAUUGUAAACUCCUGUCGUUAGGGACGAUAAUGACGGUC